rnacentral:lncRNA from 1 species
AUGCCAGACAGUUUCGACACUUUGCAAAGACAAAGACCAGAGAAAGGAGGAAGAGGAGGACGAGGAGGAAGAGGAGGUGGGAGAGGAGGACGGACCGAUGUGAGCUGGGAAGGGGGCGAGUGUUCGGGACACCCCCCCUUUAUUCUCCCCGGAGCCCCUCAUCCCCAAAGCCGCGGAAACUCCAGCGUGUCUCCAGCUGCGCUGGGGACCAUUUUCAGAAUCAAACUUUCUGACCUGGAAAUGCCAAUAGAAGUAAUAAUCAUCGCCAGGAGCUGUGGUGAGCAAACACUUUGAGCUUUGUGGCCAGGACAGUUUCCUCUGUGGACCUGAGAUGGACAGUCCCCCAGCCUCCUGAGGUAAAUGACUGCCCUCUCCCCCAGCACGAGUGAGAGGUGUUGUCUUUUCUGGUUUCUUCCAUACAUUAACUUGAGUAGCAGGGGAGAGAUGUUCCCCUAUGUCUCGGUCUCUUUGUAAUUUGGCCUGCUCUCCCAGGGAUAUGCCAUUAAGAGGGAACACUUUCUACCUCAGGGAAAAAUGCACGGUCAUUAGAAUAUCAAGCAACCUGAUUUUCUUAAAAGGAAAGCCUUCUGUGUUCUCAUUAAACAAGUAGGUAGAAACUGAAUUAGGAACAGCCUCAUAUGACCAGUGCCGGCCAUCCCAAAGACAGUCUGGAAUGACACUGUCCUGGAAUGAGGGUUAGCAAUCAACUCUGACCCACAGGGCAAAACUGGCCCAGUCAUAUUUUAUAGAUCAUUUCUGUUGGUACCCAGCCACAUUCCUUCCUUCAGAUAUGUGUCACAGCACAACAGCGGUGGUGACGGGCUGUGUGGCCAGAAAGCCACAAAUAUUUACAGUCUGGUCCUUCAUGGAGAGAGUGUGCCAGCCCCUGGUCUAGAGCUAAGCUGCCCACAUGUAGCCACCCCAUGUGUGGCUAUUUAAAUUUUAAUUCGUUGAAAUUAAUCACAAUUAAAAAUUCAACCCUCAAUCAUGCUCACCACAUUUCAAGUGCUCAAUAGCCGUAUGUGACUCAUGGCUACCAUUUUGGACAGCACAUUGAGCAAGUUUCCAUCAGUGAGGAAGGCUGGCUUGGGGAAAUCUGUGGUCACCCUGGAACGCCUCUCUUCACUCUGAGUGUCUAACUCAGCUUGGAUAUAGUUGCCACCAUCGUGGAAGAAGGAAGGUUGGUCCAUGUAUGUGUGUGUGUGGCUGUUCUGUAUGAUUAUUGGUGAGGACAUCUAUCUAUUUAUCUACUUACCUAUCCAUAAAAAUGGAAUUACUUCUAAAAUUUCUUUGGACAGCCAAACUAUGGCCGCUGUAUAUGAGUCCAUGUAAAAACUAAGCCACUUGGACCUUGAGAUAUAUCAGUUUUAUAUAUGCAAAUAAGUUGAUACAAAUAUGAGUUUUUCUAUGGUCAUGGGAAGAUCAGAUACAGUAUAGGGCUUCCUGUAAAGGGAACGAAGCAAUGGCCAUAGUGUUCCUCAUGGGCUCAAGAUGGGGCGAGAGAGAUAAGAAACAGGGAGAGGAAGAAAGUAAGCUAAAGAUAUGGUGUUCGUGAGUCUUGGAAGAAUGAGGAAUGAUGGAGACAAAAGAUAACCAUGGGUUUACUUUCAAAGAAUGUGUUAAACAGAGUAAUAAUGAUUGGGACCUUAUCCCAUCUCAGAAUCGGGCUGAGCACAACCAUUCCUACAUAGCAGACCCAUGGGGAGAAGCUUGGACUUGGCAAUAGUCCCAUCAUCUUGGAUGGGUCAGGACUGGGGGUAUAGGAGCUCCAGUGGCGCAAUCGGUUAGCGCGCGGUACUUAUACAGGACUGGGGGUAUAAUAAGAGGUUCUACUUGUUGAAUAAGGCAGUGUGCAGUGCAGAAUAAGAGGGCCAGUCACUUAGCUGCAUAGCAUUUAUGGAUGGGUCCCAAGACGGAGCAGAGAAGAAACUCUAGGUGACCAGGAGGCCUAUAGGCAAAGGCCCCACAUUGUGUCUUUAGGAGCUGGGCUUUCUCCGCCGUGGGUUGCCCAAGAACUAGCAAGAACAGAGCAGAGAUUCAG